rnacentral:siRNA from 1 species
UGCGCUUCUGGUGGUUUUUAC